UGUGACAAACUACUUCUUCAAAUAUUGGAAGACAGCAUUAAGAGAAGAAGAACAAAUAAUGAGGAAGAAGAAAAGGAAGAGGAGGCUUCUUCUUCUUCACUCAAUCUAAAUCUCUUUUUAUCUCUUGCUGCUUCCUCUUAACCAAAGCCUACACAAUUUCACAACAGUUAUAACUCUAUCAUCUCCGUGUUUGGUUCUUAAAUACUCGAAGCUCAGACAUCAAACCACCUCCUGCUGCAUAUUAAAUAUCGCCAUUUGAGAAAGAGAGGGAAUAGCUAUACGGGAGAAUAAACUCAAAUCAGGGGAAAGAAAACAGUUAUGUUGGUGCCAUGAUAGAAGCAUAUGUGGGAGGAUCAACUGCAAAAUGCUCAAAGUCAUCUUCCAUCAUCCUCAAAGUAAAACUAUCGCUUUAUAUACUGUGAUAUUCACACUUAUUAUGUCAUUUGUAAUCUGCAAAUAUCUUCAUUACCUUCCACAAAUGAAGACUCUCUCAAAAAGAACAGAGAAUAAUAAGGAGGAGGUUCCCUUGAAGAAGUAUGGUGGAUGUAUUUUUCUCUGUUUAUCCUUAUGCGAAGCUGCUUGGACUACUCUUGCAAC